AGAGUUUGAUCCUGGCUCAGAGCGAACGCUGGGCGCAGGCCUUAAAACAUGCAAGUCGAACGGAUCCUUCGGGAUUAGUGGCGGACGGGUGAGUAACACGUGGGAACGUGCCUUUUGGUUCGGAACAACUCAGGGAAACUUGAGCUAAUACCGAAUGUGCCCUUCGGGGGAAAGAUUUAUCGCCAUUAGAGCGGCCCGCGUCUGAUUAGCUUGUUGGUGAGGUAAAGGCUCACCAAGGCGACGAUCAGUAGCUGGUCUGAGAGGAUGAUCAGCCACACUGGGACUGAGACACGGCCCAGACUCCUACGGGAGGCAGCAGUUAGGAAUCUUGCGCAAUGGGGGAAACCCUGACGCAGCCAUGCCGCGUGAAUGAUGAAGGUCUUAGGAUUGUAAAAUUCUUUCAGCGGGGACGAUAAUGACGGUACCCGCAGAAGAAGCCCGGCUAACUUCGUG
rnacentral:rRNA from 1 species